ACCGACUUAGGGGGUUGAGCAUAUUGGGAGACGAACUCUGAGUUAUUCUGGUGGAAACCGUUGGCAAGUGAUCAUAUCAGUUUAAAGUUUACCUGAUUUUUCUAUGGUGUUAACCAAAAUUACUUGCGUGUAGUGCAAUCUAAAACGGUGAAAUUUUGAGUUAUUUCGGUUUGUGGUUUAAAUUUUUCAAAUAAGAGUGUCAAGCAAAAAUCGGUUGGAUAAAAAGGUGCCAAACCCAUUCAACGUGGGUGUUUGUGCUGGAGGCACACUAUCCGUACCGUCACGGCACUCGGUCGUCGCUAGGUGGCAAGCAGCCUGACCACCACCUUCGGGUCCGGGGCGCAAAUAUACCCGUCGAAACCCUGCUGUGCGGCCGCUCUAGAAUACGGCGAUUGGAACCAAAACCGAAAAGCUCCGACAACGACGACAUCGAAACUCUUCCGUCGUUGGAACCACGUGCCAGCUGGCCAGCAAGUAAGCCUGUUCCUAUUAGUGCUAAUGAGCUCGAAGAAACCUGUAAAUAGUGUAAAUAAGGCCUUUUUGUAAAAAUUGUAAAUAUUAAAAUUAGUUCCACUCCAACCCUCUAUUCGAUCAUUUUGGUUUUACACUCUUUUGCAAAUUAUUAUUUUUAUUUAAUCAUUAUUGGAUUUUUUUCUUAGGUUCUAGUUUUGGGAUUUGCUUUAGAAUAAGUAAUAAGCCGUAAGUACUUCUUCCUCGAUUUAGAUUGUAGCCUUUGGUAGUAUAGGAUUUUCUUGUGCCUUAAUGGAUCUCAGAGUUUGUUGGUGCGAUAGAAUUAAAAACAGUCGAACGCUGAUAAGGUAGAGCUUUUCUAGUUCAGUGAUUGGUUUCCGUUUGGGCUCUUUUUUAUGGUUUUUAUGUGAUUUGGGAAAUAACUACCUGCCCUGAAUUAGGAGUCUUUGGCCGGACUUUAACGGCACUGGUGACCCUUCUAAAGAAGGUGGCGCUUAAGUCCCCAGUUGUGAUUCACCCGACACGUGGUAAA